rnacentral:rRNA from 1 species
UGUGGCCAAGUGGUGCAUUUGCAGGUGGAGUGCGCCGAGGCUCCUGGGGCGGCUUCAUGAGCCUGGUUUUGAGGCCAGCUUGCUGGUACCCGGACUGGAGGAGUGAUGUUCGCCCUGGGUGUUGGGCAAGGCAUACGGGCUCGGUUGGGUGCCGAGCUGGCGGUCGGAGGCGGUCACAUGUGACACGUGCCGCGCAGUCAGUUCGGUCCUGGCCGAGCUCACAAGCCCGUUCUCGGUGUAAAAGCUGGUCAUCUAUCCGACCCGUCUUGAAACACGGACCAAGGAGUUUAUCGUGUGCGCGAGUCAUUGGGCGUUGAAAACCCAAAGGCGUAAUGAAAGUGAAGAAGGCGGCUUGCCGUCGAUCGUGCGAUCCCGGGUCCCUCGGGGCCCGGGCGCAGCAUGGCCCCAUCCCGAUUGCUUGCAAUGGGGUGGAGGAUGAGCGUACGCGACGAGACCCGAAAGAUGGUGAACUAUUCCUGAGCAGGAUGAAGUCAGAGGAAACUCUGAUGGAAGUCCGAAGCGAUUCUGACGUGCAAAUCGAUCGUCUGAC